rnacentral:rRNA from 1 species
CGGAGGUGGCAAGCGUUGCUCGGAUUCAUUGGGUGUAAAGGGUCGGUAGGCGGUCUUAUAAGUGCUUGGUAAAAUCCCGCAGCUUAACUGCGGAACGCCCAGGUAGACUGUAAGACUUGAGGGCUGGAGAGGCAGACGGAAUUCCCGGUGUAAGGGUGAAAUCUGUAGAUAUCGGGAGGAACACCAGAGGCGAAGGCGGUCUGCUGGACAGCAUCUGACGCUGAGCGACGAAAGCGUGGGGAGCAAACAGGAUUAGAUACCCUGGUAGUCCACGCUGUAAACGUUGAGGACUAGGUGUUGGCCCGUUUAGGGUCGGUGCCGCAGGUAACCCACUAAGUCCUCCACCUGGGGAGUACGUCCGCAAGGAUG